rnacentral:rRNA from 1 species
UACGUAGGUGGCAAGCGUUGUCCGGAUUUACUGGGCGUAAAGGGCGUGCAGGCGGUUUGUUAAGUUCAGGGUGAAAGCUCCCGGCUCAACUGGGAGAGGUCCUUGGAUACUGGCAGACUUGAGGAGGGUAGAGGAGAGUGGAAUUCCCGGUGUAGUGGUGAUAUGCGUAGAUAUCAGGAGGAACACCAGUGGCGAAGGCGGCUCUCUGGGCCCUACCUGACGCUGAGACGCGAAAGCGUGGGGAGCGAACCGG